rnacentral:rRNA from 1 species
GACGAACGCUGGCGGCGUGCUUAACACAUGCAAGUCGAACGGUAAGGCCCUUCGGGGUACACGAGUGGCGAACGGGUGAGUAACACGUGGGUGAUCUGCCCUGCACUUCGGGAUAAGCCUGGGAAACUGGGUCUAAUACCGGAUAGGACUCCGGACUGCAUGGUCUGGGGUGGAAAGCUUUUGCGGUGUGGGAUGGGCCCGCGGCCUAUCAGCUUGUUGGUGGGGUGAUGGCCUACCAAGGCGACGACGGGUAGCCGGCCUGAGAGGGUGACCGGCCGCACUGGGACUGAGAUACGGCCCAGACUCCUACGGGAGGCAGCAGUGGGGAAUAUUGCACAAUGGGCGCAAGCCUGAUGCAGCGACGCCGCGUGAGGGAUGACGGCCUUCGGGUUGUAAACCUCUUUCAGCACGGACGAAGCGCAAGUGACGGUAUGUGCAGAAGAAGGACCGGCCAACUACGUGCCAGCAGCCGCCGUAA